GGCGGUGUAGCUCAGCUGGUUAGAGCAACGGCUUCAUAAGCCGUGUGUCGGGGGUUCGAAUCCCUUCACCGCUACCA
rnacentral:tRNA from 1 species